rnacentral:rRNA from 1 species
UACGGAGGGUGCAAGCGUUAUCCGGAUUCACUGGGUUUAAAGGGUGCGUAGGAGGGCAGGUAAGUCAGUGGUGAAAUCCUGGGGCUUAACCCCAGACUGCCGUUGAUACUAUCGGUCUUGAAUGUCGUGGAGGUGAGCGGAAUAUGUCAUGUAGCGGUGAAAUGCUUAGAUAUGACAUAGAACACCAAUUGCGAAGGCAGCU